AAGAUUACAAGGGGAGAGUUUACAACGAAUAGUAACGCCGAAGGAGCAAGUGAAGAGCGAAUCUCUCAGGCCAAAAAGACUCUUGUAUGACG
rnacentral:ncRNA from 2 species